AGAGUUUGAUCCUGGCUCAGGAUGAACGCUGGCGGCGUGCCUAACACAUGCAAGUCGAACGGACUUUAGACGCUGACGAGACUUCGGUCAAAUCUUGUUUAAAGUUAGUGGCGGACGGGUGAGUAACGCGUGGGCAACCUGCCUCAUACUGGGGGAUAGCAGUUGGAAACGACUGAUAAUACCGCAUAAGCGCACGGAGUCGCAUGACUCAGUGUGAAAAACUCCGGUGGUAUGAGAUGGGCCCGCGUCAGAUUAGCUAGUUGGUGAGGUAACGGCCCACCAAGGCGACGAUCUGUAGCCGGCCUGAGAGGGCGGACGGCCACAUUGGGACUGAGACACGGCCCAAACUCCUACGGGAGGCAGCAGUAGGGAAUAUUGGACAAUGGGGGAAACCCUGAUCCAGCGACGCCGCGUGAGUGAAGAAGUAUUUCGGUACGUAAAGCUCUAUCAGCAGGGAAGAAAAUGACGGUACCUGACUAAGAAGCACCGGCUAAAUACGUGCCAGCAGCCGCGGUAAUACGUAUGGUGCAAGCGUUAUUCGGAUUUACUGGGUGUAAAGGGAGCGUAGACGGCAUAGCAAGUCUGAAGUGAAAUGCGGGGGCUCAACCCCUGAACUGCUUUGGAAACUGUUAAGCUAGAGUGUCGGAGAGGUUAGUGGAAUUCCUAGUGUAGCGGUGAAAUGCGUAGAUAUUAGGAGGAACACCGGUGGCGAAGGCGGCUAACUGGACGAUAACUGACGUUGAGGCUCGAAAGCGUGGGGAGCAAACAGGAUUAGAUACCCUGGUAGUCCGCACGGUAAACGAUGGAUGCCCGCUGUAUGCGAUACACUGUAUGCGGCCAAGAGAAAUCGUUAAGCAUCCCACCUGGGGAGUACGCCGGCAACGGUGAAACUCAAAGGAAUUGACGGGGGCCCGCACAAGCGGAGGAACAUGUGGUUUAAUUCGAUGAUACGCGAGGAACCUUACCCGGGCUCGAACGGCAGAGGAACAAUCCAGAGAUGGUGCGGCCCUUCGGGGCUUCUGUCGAGGUGCUGCAUGGUUGUCGUCAGCUCGUGCCGUGAGGUGUCGGCUCAAGUGCCAUAACGAGCGCAACCCUUGCCGUCAGUUACCAUCAAGUAGUGUUGGGGACUCUGGCGGGACUGCCACCGCAAGGUGUGAGGAAGGGGGGGAUGACGUCAAAUCAGCACGGCCCUUACGUCCGGGGCGACACACGUGUUACAAUGGUGGCUACAAAGAGAGGCGAGCCCGCGAGGGUAAGCAAAUCCCAGAAAAGCCAUCCCAGUUCGGAUUGUAGUCUGCAACUCGACUACAUGAAGCUGGAAUCGCUAGUAAUCGCGAAUCAGCAUGUCGCGGUGAAUGCGUUCCCGGGUCUUGUACACACCGCCCGUCACGCCAUGGGAGUUGGUAAUGCCCGAAGUCAGUGGCCUAACCGCAAGGGAGGAGCUGCCGAAGGCAGGAUCAAUAACUGGGGUGAAGUCGUAACAAGGUA
rnacentral:rRNA from 1 species